CUCCGCCCGUAUGCCUCCGGACGUUAUACGAGGUUGUGCACGGGCUGCGUUGGGCAGUCUACCGAGUGCGUGUGCGAUAAGAAGUUAAAACAGGCGAGAAGAAUGUGUCCUGUGUCACAGAUGACACAAUCGAGUCAUCCUAAUUAAACAGGCUCAGGAGCAACUUUCAUCUGACGUUAAAGAUUCAGAAAUACCCCCAUUUCCUGGAGAUCUACUCUACCCCAUCAUCAGAAG